rnacentral:rRNA from 1 species
CGCUGGCGGCGUGCCUAAUACAUGCAAGUCGAGCGGACAGAUGGGAGCUUGCUCCCUGAUGUUAGCGGCGGACGGGUGAGUAACACGUGGGUAACCUGCCUGUAAGACUGGGAUAACUCCGGGAAACCGGGGCUAAUACCGGAUGGUUGUUUGAACCGCAUGGUUCAAACAUAAAAGGUGGCUUCGGCUACCACUUACAGAUGGACCCGCGGCGCAUUAGCUAGUUGGUGAGGUAACGGCUCACCAAGGCGACGAUGCGUAGCCGACCUGAGAGGGUGAUCGGCCACACUGGGACUGAGACACGGCCCAGACUCCUACGGGAGGCAGCAGUAGGGAAUCUUCCGCAAUGGACGAAAGUCUGACGGAGCAACGCCGCGUGAGUGAUGAAGGUUUUCGGAUCGUAAAGCUCUGUUGUUAGGGAAGAACAAGUACCGUUCGAAUAGGGCGGUACCUUGACGGUACCUAACCAGAAAGCCACGGCUAACUACGUGCCAGCAGCCGCGGUAAUACGUAGGUGGCAAGCGUUGUCCGGAAUUAUUGGGCGUAAAGGGCUCGCAGGCGGUUUCUUAAGUCUGAUGUGAAAGCCCCCGGCUCAACCGGGGAGGGUCAUUGGAAACUGGGGAACUUGAGUGCAGAAGAGGAGAGUGGAAUUCCACGUGUAGCGGUGAAAUGCGUAGAGAUGUGGAGGAACACCAGUGGCGAAGGCGACUCUCUGGUCUGUAACUGACGCUGAGGAGCGAAAGCGU